GGAAAAGAAGGAAGAGGAGGAGGAGGUGGUCGUGGUGGUGAAGGAGGAGGAGAAGGUGAUGUGGUGGUGGUGGUGGUGGAGGAAGAGGAGGAGGAGGUGAUGGUGGUGAUGGUGGGAGGAGGAGGAGGAGGUGGUGGUAAUGAAGAGGAGAAAGAGGAGGAGGAGGAGGAGGAGGA